UGGAGACAUUGUUGAACUUUUAACUGGAU
rnacentral:piRNA from 1 species